rnacentral:rRNA from 1 species
UACGUAGGGGGCAAGCGUUGUCCGGAAUCAUUGGGCGUAAAGCGCGUGUAGGCGGCCCGGUAAGUCCGCUGUGAAAGUCGGGGGCUCAACCCUCGAAAGCCGGUGGAUACUGUCGGGCUCGAGUGCGGAAGAGGCGAGUGGAAUUCCUGGUGUAGCGGUGAAAUGCGCAGAUAUCAGGAGGAACACCAAUAGCGAAGGCAGCUCGCUGGGACGGUACUGACGCUAAGGCGCGAAAGCGUGGGGAGCGAACAGG